UACGUAGGGUGCGAGCAUUAAUCGGAUUUAUUGGGCGUAAAGGGCGCGUAGGCGGGAUAUUAAGUCAGAUGUGAAAGCCCGGGGCUCAACCCCGGAACUGCAUUUGAAACUGAUAUUCUAGAGGGUAGGCGGAGAAAAUGGAAUUCCACAAGUAGCGGUGAAAUGCGUAGAUAUGUGGAAGAACACCAGUGGCGAAGGCGGUUUUCUAGCUUAUACCUGACGCUGAGGCGCGAAAGCAAGGGGAGCAAACAGG
rnacentral:rRNA from 1 species